UCCUCAGUAGCUCAGUGGUAGAGCUAUCGGCUGUUAACCGAUCGGUCGUAGGUUCGAGUCCUACCUGUGGAGCCA
rnacentral:tRNA from 1 species